rnacentral:lncRNA from 1 species
GAAAAAAAAAGCUUGUCGAUCUUGGAUAACCUUUGGGUCAACCUGAUGGAUUUAAAAUAAGCAUCUCCUUUCAGCAACAUGAUUAAGAACUGAUACAGACAGUGGCCUCCACAUGAUAUUGAGAGGACCGCUUGAGUGUUCCUUAAGAACGUGAGGAAAGCCAAAAGAAGGCUUCAGGCUUCAAGAGGAGUCUAUGCAGCCCUUUCUGGUGAUACUUGGAAGUUGCUUGAAGGCCCACCAUAAAUAAAAGGUCAAUGGCG